GUGAAAUAUUAACAGCUCCAGUGCUGUUCUUGCAAGGUGAGGCUGCUGCAGGCCACAGGCCAGAGAAUUUAACAGAUGAACAAGUGUCAUGGGGAUUGGUGGGAAGAAGGUGCCUCAAGCCUUUAAAUUCCCAGUUCUGAGGAAAGGCCUUGUCUGCUUCAGGAACAGAAAUAACAAAUAUUUUCUUUUUCUGAUGUCCCCUCCAUCCCAUCGUAUCCCCAGCCUGCAUGUGAUGCUGCCAUGGAGAGCAACACAGGCUCAGGACCAUGCAGACCUCAAAUCUGUUUCAGCCUGUUCUGGUCCCCAGACAGAAGGAUGUGUUUCUCCAGGUGCAGUUUGCCUGGCAGCCACACAGGAGAGCUGAAUGCCAAUGCAGAAGACUUGGCAUCCAUGAUCUUCCACCACUGACUCUGGUGUCUGUGCGUGACUGCCUUGCUCUGCAUGUGAGAUGCUGAUAUUUUCCAAGUACUUUACAAGCCAAGAGGCUAUAGUAGAGACCAUCAGAUGAAGCAACCCCACAAACAAGGAGCCUUCUCCUCUAUGAAGGAUAUCCCCUUGCUUAUGAGGAUCCUUUAAACACGCUCCCUGGAAAUAAGCAGGCACAGAGGAAGUUGCACCAAAGUGGCUUUUCCUGACGUGCUCUGUCUGCUCUUGCUGCCAAGGUGAGUGGCCCUGGGCAGGCUGCCAGCCAGGAACAGUCCCACUGGGCAUUCCAUACCUCUCUGGAGCACGAUCUAUGUCCAAUGCUGCUGUUCCUCUCCAGCAAGAAGUGACGCAGGGAUGGUCCUGCUCUCCUGAGCAUGCCACGGCUCCUGCUGUCUCACUCCUAUAGGCACAGACCUGCAAUUCCCCGGAGACAAAGGAGAGGGCUGAGACAACCGUUGAGGGCUCAAGGGUUAAAGAAAACGUGUACCUGGGAUGGGGCAGGUCCAGACCCAAAGUGGAGGUUGUUCUGCCACAGAGAGGAAAAGGCAAAAUAAGCUGCUUUGUGUGUUGUCACUGCAAUGUCCAGCAGUGCUCGGGCUGUACUUUGUGCCCAUGACACACAGAAUCAGGAUCACAAGGGCAACCAUGACUUCUGCCUCCUCUCUCCCAAUCCACGCUUCCCCCACUUUCCUCUGCCCCGAGGAGAGUGGUAUGGACACCAGCAAGAGGGCAUCCUCUGGGAAUUUGGUACUCAGCAUCAGCUCCCCAUCCAGUGUCAUUGAUCCCAGCAGGAAAAAGUGAGCCAUGGGGAAAGGAAGCGGAUGCAUCUGCUAUACCAGAGAUUCCCAAUCCCAAACCGACAUCCCUCAGGCAUCCCUGAGGUGAUUAAGCAGGAGGGAAUGUCUGUGCAGGGAGAAGAAAACUCUGGUUUCUAAAUUUCUUUUGAACUCAAACACUGAAACAAACAGAUGGAAAGAAAACUUGGUUCUGUAAGAAUGUUCACAUCACAUCCUGAGCCAUCGAAUGGCUCAGUGGCAUUUUUUCCUGUGUUUUCUUUGCCCUGUCCUCCACCAGCCUUGUGCCUUCCCUGGUUGUUGCUUGCCCCUGAACUGAGCUCGUUUGAUUAGAAGUAUUAGCAAAAAGCCAGUUUGGCAGAAGAGUGGCCAAUUUUCUGUCGGGUCCCUGAGUUGAACUGGCUCAAGGAAAAAGAGAUGUGGGCAGGGAGGAGCAGGGAGAAAAAGGGAUGGACAUAAGCCCUCACCUUCUCUGUCAGGAUUUAUACUUUAUACUGGUCCAACAGUAUCAUGAAACUUCACCUCAAUGCCCUCUUGAAAUUCAGCAGAAAUUUCUGGCUGAGGUCAGUGAUGUAAAGGACACAUCUGACCUUGUACUUUUUGCUGUAAAACUCAAGGAAAGUUACAAUCCUCUUUUUCUUCAGGUCAUUUUAAUUUAAUAAGUGUAUCUGGACAUGUACAAUUCUUAAUUAGCGUUGAGUUAAAAAAAAAAAAAAUUAGCUGUUGCACUGGGCUGAUAAGAGUCUACAGCACUGUGUCCUGGCACUGGGAUCCCAGCUCCUCUGGUACAGGUCCUGUGCCUGUGCCUGCAGGAAGUUGCCAACACUUAUAAUAUUCCUAGAAAGCCACAGACACACUUAUUUUACUGUUACAGACAUUACUGGUGUAUACAAGUUAAAAUUGGCUGCGCUUAACCACUCAGAACCGCUUCCUGUACACUAAUAAAAUUACAACGAAUCUUUGAAA